rnacentral:misc_RNA from 1 species
UUGAAUCCAUAGGAUGUUGCUGGCCUUUCGGGGCAUGUGCACUCCGCCCUUUCAAUCCACCUGUGAACUUAUUGUAGGCCGGACGUAAAAAAUCCGUGUCUAUGUUUUUAAUACACCCUAAAAAAAAGUCUAUAGAAUGUCUAAUAGUAGACCUUAGAUGGUCGAAAUUUAAUA